rnacentral:rRNA from 1 species
AAAUUGAAGAGUUUGAUCAUGGCUCAGAUUGAACGCUGGCGGCAGGCCUAACACAUGCAAGUCGAGCGGUAGCACAGAGAGCUUGCUCUCGGGUGACGAGCGGCGGACGGGUGAGUAAUGUCUGGGAAACUGCCUGAUGGAGGGGGAUAACUACUGGAAACGGUAGCUAAUACCGCAUAAUGUCGCAAGACCAAAGUGGGGGACCUUCGGGCCUCAUGCCAUCAGAUGUGCCCAGAUGGGAUUAGCUAGUAGGUGGGGUAACGGCUCACCUAGGCGACGAUCCCUAGCUGGUCUGAGAGGAUGACCAGCCACACUGGAACUGAGACACGGUCCAGACUCCUACGGGAGGCAGCAGUGGGGAAUAUUGCACAAUGGGCGCAAGCCUGAUGCAGCCAUGCCGCGUGUGUGAAGAAGGCCUUCGGGUUGUAAAGCACUUUCAGCGGGGAGGAAGGCGUUAAGGUUAAUAACCUUGGCGAUUGACGUUACCCGCAGAAGAAGCACCGGCUAACUCCGUGCCAGCAGCCGCGGUAAUACGGAGGGUGCAAGCGUUAAUCGGAAUUACUGGGCGUAAAGCGCACGCAGGCGGUCUGUCAAGUCGGAUGUGAAAUCCCCGGGCUCAACCUGGGAACUGCAUUCGAAACUGGCAGGCUAGAGUCUUGUAGAGGGGGGUAGAAUUCCAGGUGUAGCGGUGAAAUGCGUAGAGAUCUGGAGGAAUACCGGUGGCGAAGGCGGCCCCCUGGACAAAGACUGACGCUCAGGUGCGAAAGCGUGGGGAGCAAACAGGAUUAGAUACCCUGGUAGUCCACGCCGUAAACGAUGUCGAUUUGGAGGUUGUGCCCUUGAGGCGUGGCUUCCGGAGCUAACGCGUUAAAUCGACCGCCUGGGGAGUACGGCCGCAAGGUUAAAACUCAAAUGAAUUGACGGGGGCCCGCACAAGCGGUGGAGCAUGUGGUUUAAUUCGAUGCAACGCGAAGAACCUUACCUGGUCUUGACAUCCACAGAACUUUCCAGAGAUGGAUUGGUGCCUUCGGGAACUGUGAGACAGGUGCUGCAUGGCUGUCGUCAGCUCGUGUUGUGAAAUGUUGGGUUAAGUCCCGCAACGAGCGCAACCCUUAUCCUUUGUUGCCAGCGGUUCGGCCGGGAACUCAAAGGAGACUGCCAGUGAUAAACUGGAGGAAGGUGGGGAUGACGUCAAGUCAUCAUGGCCCUUACGACCAGGGCUACACACGUGCUACAAUGGCAUAUACAAAGAGAAGCGACCUCGCGAGAGCAAGCGGACCUCAUAAAGUAUGUCGUAGUCCGGAUUGGAGUCUGCAACUCGACUCCAUGAAGUCGGAAUCGCUAGUAAUCGUAGAUCAGAAUGCUACGGUGAAUACGUUCCCGGGCCUUGUACACACCGCCCGUCACACCAUGGGAGUGGGUUGCAAAAGAAGUAGGUAGCUUAACCUUCGGGAGGGCGCUUACCACUUUGUGAUUCAUGACUGGGGUGAAGUCGUAACAAGGUAACCGUAGGGGAACCUGCGG